rnacentral:lncRNA from 1 species
CCUCCUCUCCAUCUUCCCUCUCUUCUACUUCUUCUUUUUUUUCUCUUCUCCCUCUACUUCUCUUCUUCUUCUCCCCAUGCCCCACAGAGAGAGCAUGGGAGGCGGUGGGAUAAAACCGAAAUUUUCGGUUUUCUUUAUUUUCUUCCUUUUACAACUUAACAGUUUAGUCCUUGAAAUUUCCAUAUUUACAUAUAGGUCCCCCGAUUUAUAAAUAAAUCUUUAUUAAUAAUUUUCAAAAGUGAGGGAUAUUACA